CUCCUCCUCCGCUCCGGCCGGAGGCCGCCGACGGCUCCGCCGCUCCCACCUAAAGACCCCUCAGGUGCCGGCUCCAGAGAAGAAGCCUCAGCUGCAGCCCCCGAGGCCAAGGCCUCCCGGCCUCAAGGUCCGUCCUCAGAAGCGGCCGCGGGGCCCGUCCUGAGCCCUCCUGCUCUCCCGUCUUACUCAGGAACACACAGUGGGGCCGGGCCCCCCUCCCCUGACAGAACUGGGCCUUGGCCUCACUCUGGAUGCUCAGUCCUUGUUCUCACGUGUUUAAGCACCUCCAUGGGGCUGCUCGUGCCCCCCCCGACCCUGGUUUGGAGUUUUGCCCUUGGUUUUUACCGUGUCUGUGACAUUUCCCUGUCGAUGAGUAAAGACUCGCGCGUCCUGCUCUGUGUUGUGCA